UGGUGCCUCUUUCAAGAACCGAGUCAUUGUGAUGACCUCUGGGCCACGUGGUGGAGUUUUAAAUAUCCAUAUCAAUCUGAAGGGCACAAUGCACUUUAUCUUUAAAUAGGCCAUGCUAUCCUGUUCCACAAAACAGAGUUUUGGACUUUAGCCUACAAGAAAGCUGAAAUAUGAGAAGGACACAUCUCAUCCCCUAUGAUGGAAGAGGCAGGAGGGAGGACGGAGCACAGAUUGGAAUGUUGAAAUGGGAAUAUUCCAGAGCUGCUGGAGUUCAGAGGUGCUUGAGGAACUCAACUUGCAUUCCUCACAGUGAAGGAUGGAAGCCCUUUGGCCUUGCCCUCCUGCCCAGCUGAUGUGAUCAGAUGCAGGCAGCUGUCAGGAGAGCAAAGGGAAGGGAGAUGCUGGGUCCGGAAACCCUGCUGCUGCUGCGACAAGUGCUCCGGGUCCAGGCUGUGAUUUCCACAAUCUGCAUCCAAACCACAGAGUGAAGCCGAAAUUGUGUGAAUGAUCGGGAGUGUUUGCAAAGUUCAACCACGGUGUUAUCACGUUUUAUUCAAAUCUCCUAGUCCAAAAAAGAAUACCACGCCCUGUUUCUAUCUCAGUGCGGAGUGUUUCAUUUUGAUCAAAAUUACAGUUGCGUAACUGACAGAUGAGAGUGAGUGCUUGCAGAUGUGAAGACUGGGGUGAAAUAACACAGAAACAACACCCGCAA
rnacentral:lncRNA from 1 species